GCACAAGCAUUCUCUUUCUAUUUUUGGAUCAUUCUUUAUCCGAGGCGAACGGACAAGAAGGAAGCUUCAAGAUUUUUUAUGAGUCAGAAGGUAGAAAAACCCUCUCUAUCAGGCCACCGUCUGAAAACUAGGAAAAGGGAUGAAAAGGAGAAAUACGAUCCUUCAUCUUUCCGUGAUGCAAUUAUACAAGGACUGACAGAGACAGGAAAUGAUUUAGAUCUGGUUGCAAAAUAUCUGGACUUGCAGGGAGGCAAGCUUGACUUCCGUCGUUACGCUGAUGUUUUAUUUGACAUCUUAUUUGCUGGAGGACAGCUAGCCCCUGGUGGAUCUAUUGUUGAGGACUCGACUGAUCCAGAAAAGCUCUUUAGAACAAAUGUUUGUGUGUUUGGAACUGAUGAAAGCAGAUUGAGAGAGUUUUAUGAGGUUUUUAACAAACUACUGAGACGCUACAAGUACCUGGAAAGAUCUUUUGAGGAUGCCUUAAAGAAAAUCCUGUAUUUUAUGAAAGGAUUUAAGGAUGAUGAGAAACGCAAAUUGGCAAUCAUCACUGGCAUAUUCUUGGGAAAUGGUUUUUGCUCAGCCAAAGUUCUCUCCAGCAUAUUUGAAGAGCACUUGGUUAAAGAUGGAGUUUCACUGGAUUUUGCCGACGUGAUGUUUAAGACUUGGCUGGCAGAGAAGGAUAUGAGCAGCAUCAUAACCGCUCUCAAGAAAGCUUCACUGGAAAGUAGACUUCCAGAAUUGUUCCCAGUCAACAAGAGAGAUCAGGAGACAUUUGUGGCGCACUUCAAAAAAGUUGGCCUCGGUCCCAUUGCUGAUUUUCAGGAAACCCAGAGAAAUUAUCAAGUAAAGGUUGAACUCAAGAAGCAUGUCACAGAAAUGAUGAAAGAUGAAGAGCCUCCUAAAGAGAUGGUGGCUUACAUUCUUGAACACAUGCAGAAGCAUAAUCUCAAAGAACAAGAAGUAACCAUGUUGGUAAGUCAAAACAACCAAUGGGUCAGAACUAUGAGGUAACAUUGUUACAUGCAGAUCUGUAGAUUUCAAAUGGAUGUGGUCAAAGUUUUGAGUUUCUUUGUAAAUUUGAAGUAUGUUUGGUAUUGAUACAUUAACAUAUGAUAACGUUGAUUUCUAGGUAUGGAGUACCAUUAUGGCAUCAGUAGAGUGGAAUAAAAAAGAAGAAUUAGUGGCAGAGCAGGCAUUGAAGCAUCUGAGGACAUACAGCCCACUGUUGGCCGCCGUAGCCAAGUCGGCCAUGGCAGAACUGUCACUACUGGUCAAGAUACAGGAAUAUUGCUACGACAACAUGAACUUUAUGAAGUCCUUUCAGAAGAUUGUGGUCAUGUUGUAUAAGACUGAAGUAAUACGAGAAGAAGUAAUCUUGAAAUGGUAUAAAGAUGCACACUCUUCCAAAGGAAAGAGUGUCUUCUUGGAACAGAUGAAGAAAUUUGUGGAAUGGCUGGAAAAUGCCUCAGAAGAGUCUGAAGAAGAUGAAGACUAACCCACCUAUUAUUCAGGGAUACUUAAGAUUUACUCUGCCUUGCAUCCUCAGUCUAUGCAGGCUCUCCUUUGUUCCUUCAUAGACAGGUGCUUCUCCAUUCUGAAUGAUCUGUGUGAAACCUCUAUAGCCCUUUAUCACCAUAGUUCAUGACUUUUUUACAGGAAAGAUCUAUCAAUGUAAUGAAUAAGAACUCUAAAUUGUUUGAUGUUGUACAUAUAUUGUGGGUGAAAGAUGGCAAGUGUAGACUUCUUAAUUACUUUCUAGCAUACAUUGGAUUGUACAUGAAUAAAUACAACUAGAAUCAAAUAUUGAGACAGAUUUUUUGAUGUUAGCUUUUAUAUAUGUUCUUUUUUUCCAACUUUAUACUUCAGAAUAUCAUCUGUAAUUUGUCAUGUUUCAUAGUUGUACUGUUUUUGUACAAAAUCAAUGUUGAUGUAGCAAUAAUACUUUCUUUUGAAAGUGAAUUGAUAAAUAACAUGAAAUUGAUGUGUAAAUGCUUUUGAAGCAAAUCAAAAGAUGUAUUUUGUUUGUAUAUGUAUUGAUAAAUAAAUACAGGUCUCUUGUAA
rnacentral:misc_RNA from 1 species